rnacentral:rRNA from 1 species
UCGAGCGAAGCACCUUGACGGAUUUCUUCGGAUUGAAGCCUUGGUGACUGAGCGGCGGACGGGUGAGUAACGCGUGGGUAACCUGCCUCAUACAGGGGGAUAACAGUUGGAAACGGCUGCUAAUACCGCAUAAGCGCACAGUACCGCAUGGUACGGUGUGAAAAACUCCGGUGGUAUGAGAUGGACCCGCGUCUGAUUAGGUAGUUGGUGGGGUAACGGCCUACCAAGCCGACGAUCAGUAGCCGACCUGAGAGGGCGACCGGCCACAUUGGGACUGAGACACGGCCCAAACUCCUACGGGAGGCAGCAGUGGGGAAUAUUGCACAAUGGGGGAAACCCUGAUGCAGCGACGCCGCGUGAGCGAUGAAGUAUUUCGGUAUGUAAAGCUCUAUCAGCAGGGAAGAAAAUGACGGUACCUGACUAAGAAGCCCCGGCUAACUACGUGCCAGCAGCCGCGGUAAUACGUAGGGGGCAAGCGUUAUCCGGAUUUACUGGGUGUAAAGGGAGCGUAGACGGCAUGGCAAGCCAGAUGUGAAAGCCCGGGGCUCAACCCCGGGACUGCAUUUGGAACUGUCAGGCUAGAGUGUCGGAGAGGAAAGCGGAAUUCCUAGUGUAGCGGUGAAAUGCGUAGAUAUUAGGAGGAACACCAGUGGCGAAGGCGGCUUUCUGGACGAUGACUG